rnacentral:rRNA from 1 species
AAGCGCACACGGUGGAUGCCUUGGCGGUCAGAGGCGAUGAAGGACGUGGCAGCCUGCGAAAAGUGUCGGGGGAGCUGGCAACAAGCUUUGAUCCCGCAAUGUCCGAAUGGGGAAACCCACUGCUUCGGCAGUAUCCUGCAGUGAAU